rnacentral:misc_RNA from 1 species
GAGUAUUUUUAGUCAUCCUGUUUACCUCUUUCUCAGGGAGUUUAGUCUCCAGGAUUCCCGGGGCGAUUCAGCCUGCAAGGAUUGUAAGACCCGUUAAGGGUUAUGAGUCAGGAAAAAAGGCGACAGAGUAAUCUGUCGCCUUUUUUCUUUGCUUGCUU